UAACAAGGAUUCCCCUAGUAACUGCGAGUGAAGCGGGAAAAGCUCAAAUUUAAAAUCUGRCGGUCUCUGAUCGUCCGAGUUGUAACCUGAAGGAGCGUUUUCAGUGCCGAACCGUGUACAAGUCUCCUGGAACGGAGCGUCAUAGAGGGUGAGAAUCCCGUCCAUGACACGGACGCUCGGUGCUUUGUGAUACGCUCCCGAAGAGUCGCGUUGUUUGGGAAUGCAGCGCAAAAUGGGUGGUAAAUUCCAUCUAAAGCUAAAUAUUGGCGAGAGACCGAUAGCGAACAAGUACCGUGAGGGAAAGAUGAAAAGCACUUUGGAAAGAGAGUUAAACAGUACGUGAAAUUGUUGAAAGGGAAACGCUUGAAGUCAGUCGCGUCUUGUGAAACUCAGCCUUGCUUCGGCCUGGUGUACUUUUCACUAAGACGGGUCAACAUCAAUUUCGACCGGUGGACAAAGGCGAGGGGAAUGUAGCGUCGUUUCGACGACGUGUUAUAGCCCCUUGUCAGAUACACCGACUGGGAUUGAGGACCGCAGCGCGCCCUUGUGGUCGGGGGUUCGCCCCACGUACCGCGCUUAGGAUGUUGGCAUAAUGGCUUUAAGCGACCCGUCUUGAAACACGGACCAAGGAGUCUAACAUGCUUGCGAGUGUUCGGGUGGAAAACCCUUGCGCGUAAUGAAAGUGAAAGUUGGGAGCCUCCGCAAGGGGGUGCACCGACGCCCGGCCCAGACGUUCUCUGACGGUGCUGCGGUAGAGCAAGUGUGUUGGGACCCGAAAGAUGGUGAACUAUGCCUGAAUAGGGCGAAGCCAGAGGAAACUCUGGUGGAGGCUCGUAGCGAUUCUGACGUGCAAAUCGAUCGUCAAAUUUGGG
rnacentral:rRNA from 1 species